rnacentral:rRNA from 1 species
CGGCGGACGGGUGAGUAACGCGUAGGAAUCUACCCAGUAGUGGGGGACAACAUGGUGAAAACCAUGCUAAUACCGCAUGCGCCCUAAGGGGGAAAGCGGGGGACCUUCGGGCCUCGCGCUAUUGGAUGAGCCUGCGUCGGAUUAGCUUGUUGGUGAGGUAAAAGCUCACCAAGGCGACGAUCCGUAGCUGGUCUGAGAGGAUGAUCAGCCACACUGGAACUGAGACACGGUCCAG